rnacentral:rRNA from 1 species
GAUUUCUGGUUAGAUGCCCCUGAUCCGCAUCCUUCGGGGUGUGAGUGUCGGUGUGGCGUCUGCCAUCCUUUGUAGAACUUGCCCUGGGGGGUUUACUCUCUCUGGGUGUCCUGGUCUACAUCUUUUACUUUGAAAAAAUUAGAGUGUUUAAAGCAGGCUUUUGCUGUGAAUACAUUAGCAUGGAAUAAUAAUAUAGGACUUCGGUUCUAUUUUGUUGGUUUCUAGUACUGAAGUAAUGAUUGAUAGGGAUAGUUGGGGGUGCUAGUAUUCAGCGGCCAGAGGUGAAAUUCUUGGAUUCGCUGA